rnacentral:rRNA from 1 species
GAAACUGAGGAUAAUACUGGAUAGGCAAUUAUUCCUGGAAUGGUUUUUUGUUUAAAUGUUUUUUCGCCUAAGGAUGGGUCUGCGGCCGAUUAGGUAGUUGGUUAGGUAACGGCUUACCAAGCCAUUGAUCGGUACGGGUUGUGAGAGCAAGAGCCCGGAGAUGGAACCUGAGACAAGGUUCCAGGCCCUACGGGGUGCAGCAGGCGCGAAACCUCCGCAAUGUGAGAAAUCGCGACGGGGGGAUCCCAAGUGCCAUUCUUAACGGGAUGGCUUUUCAUUAGUGUAAAGAGCUUUUGGAAUAAGGGCUGGGCAAGACCGGUGCCAGCCGCCGCGGUAACACCGGCAGCUCUAGUGGUAGCAGUUUUUAUUGGGCCUAAAGCGUCCGUAGCCGGUUUAAUAAGUCUCUGGUGUAAUCCUGUAGCUUAACUGUGGGAAUUGCUGGAGAUACUAUUAGACUUGAGACCGGGAGAGGUUAGAGGUACUCCCAGGGUAGAGGUGAAAUUCUGUAAUCCUGGGAGGACCGCCUGUUGCGAAGGCGUCUAACUGGAACGGUUCUGACGGUGAGGGACGAAAGUUAGGGGCGCGAACCGGAUUAGAUACCCGGGUAGUCCUAACCGUAAACGAUGCGGACUUGGUGUUGGGGUGGCUUUGAGCUGCUCCAGUGCCGAAGGGAAGCUGUUAAGUCCGCCGCCUGGGAAGUACGGUCGCAAGACUGAAACUUAA